UACAAGAAAACCUAGCUAGAGAGAGAGAGAGAGCAUAAGCCAUGGCAUUUGGCCAUGGCUAGCAAAAUUGGAGCUCGAAUUCCUUGAUCAAAAAGAUCAGAUUUUCAAAGUAUUCCAACCAGUUAGGAAGGCUAUAAUAACGUGGAUUAGUCAUUUGGAGCAACAAGAACAAGUAUUAGUUCAUUUCACAACUUCUAGCCAAAUUAAGAAGCCAACUUGUUAAGGUUGAAGUGCCAAUCGAGACGAGUUUAAAUUAUUGAAUUGGUACAGACGACAAACGGUACAGACGCACAGUUUGGUGAUCCACCAGUUUAGGACACCCUCUUCUGCUGUUUGGAGUGCUCCUCUUAUUCCGGAGCCUACAUUUUGGUAUAUAUACUUGUUUGAUGCAUAUGUAUAUAUUUGUUCAGGGGUACGGCGGGGCCCUGUUCCGCCAUAUGAUCCGUUUGGUCUGUUUAGAGGUCUGUAGACGUAUUUGUGGG